AUUGAACGCUGGCGGCAUGCCUUACACAUGCAAGUCGAACGGCAGCACGGGGCAACCUGGUGGCGAGUGGCGAACGGGUGAGUAAUGCAUCGGAACGUACCUUUCAGUGGGGGAUAACGUAGCGAAAGUUACGCUAAUACCGCAUAUUCUGUGAGCAGGAAAGCAGGGGAUCGCAAGACCUUGCGCUGAUUGAGCGGCCGAUGUCAGAUUAGCUAGUUGGUGAGGUAAAGGCGCACCAAGGCGACGAUCUGUAGCGGGUCUGAGAGGAUGAUCCGCCACACGGUAACUGAGACACGGUCCAGACUCCUACGGGAGGAAGCAGUGGGGAAUUGUGGACAAUGGGGGCAACCCUGAUCCAGCCAUGCCGCGUGAGUGAAGAAGGCCUUCGGGUUGUAAAGCUCUUUCGGCCGGGAAGAAAUCGCACGGGCUAAUACCCUGUGUGGAUGACGGUACCGGAAUAAGAAGCACCGGCUAACUACGUGCCAGCCGCCGCCGUAAUAC
rnacentral:rRNA from 1 species